CACAGAGUCGGACACGACUGAAGCGACUUAGCAGCAGCAACAGCAGACUUUAUUGCAACAAUACUGUUUCAGUUCAGUUCAGUUCAGUAGUCGAGUCGUGUCUGACUCUCUGCAACCUCAUGGACUGCAGCAUGCCAGGCUUCCCUGUCCCGUCACCAAUUCCCAAAGCUUGUUCAAACUCAGGUCCAUCGAGUCGGUGAGGCCACCCAACCAUCUCAUCCUCUGUCGACCCCUCCUCCUGCUCUCAAUCUUCCCCAGCACCAGGGUCUUUUCCAGGGAGUCAGCUCUUGGCAUCAGCUUCAGCUUCAGCAUCAGUCCUGCCCCUGUUUAGCCAAUGACAGAAUCACUUGGAAAGUCCAAAUGUGAAGGACUCAUUGGUACAUUAAAGUUGAUAUUUUUGGAGAAAAGGAAUCAAAUCUGAGGUCUUUCUCCCGCAACAUGGCGCUCGUCUUAAUUAUCAGUGGAGUUCAGAUAAUACUUGUUGGCACAUUUCGCUGCUCAGUAAUUAGAAUUGUUCUCCCACCCCUGGGAACCAGAGUUUAUCCCUAAAAUGAAGCAUUCAAUGGUGACUCCAGACAUAUAUCUUUUAAUAUAGUAAUACGAUUAGAGAGGAAUGUAUGUUUUCAGUUUUCAUUUCAUCAACUGCUUGGAGAAAAUUCUGAAUAUUUGAUUUGCUCCAACUCCAAGCUGAUUAGUAUGAAGCAAAGUAUAGACAUUUCUCUCUCAAGUUUAUGGAAAAGGGCAAUAAAACAGAUUUUCCCACUCAAUUUGGGACUUCCAGAGAAGGUUGAAAUAGAAAGCCUUUUAUUUAAAAUUAAUCCUCACACAUGAGCAUAUAUUUAAAACUGUUCACAGGGUUUUGUGGAGGCUCAUGGCAGAAAAUAGAAAGAAUGAUGUAAACUCGUGAAGAUGACAGACUGUCUCAAAGGGGAAAGAGAAACGCAUGCUUCGCGACGGGACUGCUGUGGCUUAUGCAGUGUGUCGUCAGCUGCCCCAGAGGCGGCUCUGACGCUUGGUCAGCUGGGGAACGUGCUUCUGCUUGCACGAUUCCUGCAGACUAUUUGCAUCUGCAGCACAGCUCUGUGCUUUCUGUCUUCCAGGCNNNNNNNNNNNNNNNNNNNNNNNNNNNNNNNNNNNNNNNNNNCGCAGGACACACCAGCACGGUAACUGCGGUGGCCUUCAGCCCGGUUGCCACUCAGGGUCUCCCAGAGCAUGUAAGCAAGCGCCUCCUGGCUCCCUUCGGCCCAAGACAAACAGCGGCAUGCCGGAGGGCCUGGCGGCUGAUUCAUCCUGGCACGGACACACCCGGGCUUCAAUUAGGCCGGGACCCAGGGCCCACAGCUGAACGGUGAUACGCCUCCUCUCCUCCCGCCAGCGGCGAGCUGGGGCCUCUCUCCCCUGGCGUCUGUGCUGCUGGGUGUGGUGGUAAUGAGCCACACGCCCCCAUCCCUGGCCCGUGUCACAGGGCCUGGAAGGUGCACCCCCCUCCAGCGUUCCUGCGGGCCCAUCACUUCCAGCAGGGAGGUAGAGAUGGGUUUUCUGAGGAGCUCAGACCUUGAGUCUCUGGAAGUGAAAGGGUUCAGCUGUCAGAACCAUUUUCAUAUCUAAGAGUUUUAAGCGAAUUAGACUAAACAUGCUUCUUUUGUGGUGUUUUUCAUUAAUUGUCCUUAAAACUCCAACCUAUGAAACAUGACCGAAAUGGAGACUCACUCAUACUCGCUGCUCAGAAGAAAUGCGACAGUUUUCUUUUUCCUCCUUUUGCAAAGAUGCUCUUGAGUUUGGAGAUUUAUUGAUGUCUAGGAAAGACAUCCAGUGAAAGGNNNNNNNNNNNNNNNNNNNNNNNNNNNNNNNNNNNNNNNNNNNNNNNNNNNNNNNNNNNNNNNNNNNNNNNNNNNNNNNNNNNNNNNNNNNNNNNNNNNGAUUUAUUGAUGUCUAGGAAAGACAUCCAGUGAAAGGAUGGGUUGCAGAUAACUGCGCAGGCAGGCCACAAAGAGAUGGCAUCUUAGGCCGGAUCCGUGCGGGAGAGCAGAAUGCUGGAAACGUGGAUCUUAUCGGCACGAUGUUAUGCCUUGCAUUUGGUUAUUCUCGUUAAUCACUUUCUCCUAGUUCCAGCCAACCGAGGUCAACGGAGGUCAACCGAGGACCUCACUUACAGGGUUCACCCCCGCAACAAGCAAGUCGGCUCUGUAAUCAGAGCUCUCACAGCAGCUGAAGGCCGGAAAGGCCCGUCUGACUUCUGACGGGUCAGCAGAGGACUGAGUGUGUACUUUGGACCAGGCCUUGCCUGCUGCUUGCAGGCUGGUGACCCACCCCCCCUCUGAAAUGCUUCCUUUCAGCUUGCGCAUGGAGCUCAGCACACACCACGGCACCUCUCACAUUCAAACCGGAGUGUAGGAGACAGUCCUGGCUGUCCCGGAGGAGGUGAUACGUUCUAAAGCAAGAGAAUUUCCCAUACCUAGUCCUCAGCGUCUCUGACAUGGAAGCUGUUCUCAUCCCCAGUGAUGGAUAGAACAGUCAGGGUGGACAGGAUUCUGUAACCUUGUCCCUGUUGGGCUUCCCAGGUGGUACUCAUGGUAAAUAACCCGCCUGUCAGUGCAGGAAACCUAAGUGAUGUGGGUUCGAUCCCUGGGUCCGGACGAUCCCCUGGAGCAGGACACGGCAGUCUGCUCCAGUAUUCCUGCCUGGAGCAUCCCAUGGACAAAGGAGUCUAAUAGGCUACAGUCCAUAGGGUUGCACAGAGCUGGACUCAGCUGAGCGACUUAGCACGCACGACCCUGUUGCCUGGAUGGGAAUGCUGAGGCAGGCGAGCUUGUGCGGCCCCGCUAGGAGGGCACAGCACCAGGGUCAUGCCCCAGCGCCGGACCCAGCCUGCACCCAGAACCCAACUCUGCCGCCUUCUACCUCCACGGGCUGUGUGCUCCAUGUGGGAACAGGGAGAGUGUGACGCUUCUAGAGAAACGUGAUUCUAGGGUAAAGCGGCUAUUUUCAUAUCUGUUUACACAAUAAAAUGUUGUAGGCAGGGCAGUGCGAUUUGCCCCACUUGUCACAAACGUGGAAGACAGUUCUCAGUGAAUGAAGAAACGAGUCUCAGAGUUUGUGGGAACAGUGACAGAAAGGAGCCGUUGAAAAGCUUGUCUCCUCGGGAUAUCAGGCACGUGGAGGCUACGUGAUGGCCGUGAUUACGGGGAGAGCAAUGAGUGGAAACGCCGAGCAUCUCAGCAGCCUGCACUGGGAGAAGCAGAGUCACAGCUCCGUGUGUGCCGGGCGUGAGCACACGUCUGCCCUUGGAGACUAGAACCCCGGCCUGUCUCUCCUGUGUUCUUCAAUUGCUGCUAGAAUGACACCCCUGCUUCUUUCUCAGCUGGUUGUUAGUAAUCGCUUUGCAGGAUUGCUGCCCUGUACGCACAUAAGGGUGUGACGUAAGUCUUUUUUAAUGUUUCAGGCAUUAAAAUGCCUAGAGGAUCUCUCGCUCCCCAGAUCCCACCACACGGUGUUGAAUAGCAUUCCUCUCACUCAAGGUCUCCUGAGCCCCUUUGCAGUGAG
rnacentral:lncRNA from 1 species